AGAUGGCGACCGGCGCACGGGUGAGUAACACGUAUCCAACCUGCCGAUAACUCGGGGAUAGCCUUUCAAAAGAAAGAUUAAUACCCGAUGGUAUAAUCAGACCGCAUGGUUUGAUUAUUAAAGAAUUUCGGUUAUCGAUGGGGAUGCGUUCCAUUAGGCAGUUGGUGAGGUAACGGCUCACCAAACCUUCGAUGGAUAGGGGUUCUGAGAGGAAGGUCCCCCACAUUGGAACUGAGACACGGUCCAA
rnacentral:rRNA from 1 species